rnacentral:rRNA from 1 species
GAUGAACGCUGGCGGCGUGCUUAACACAUGCAAGUCGAACGAUGAAAGCGGGAGCUUGCUCCUGCUGGAUUAGUGGCGAACGGGUGAGUAACACGUGAGUAACCUGCCCUUGACUCUGGGAUAAGCGUUGGAAACGACGUCUAAUACCGGAUACGACCUUCGGAGGCAUCUCCUGGGGGUGGAAAGAAUUUCGGUCAAGGAUGGACUCGCGGCCUAUCAGCUAGUUGGUGAGGUAAUGGCUCACCAAGGCGACGACGGGUAGCCGGCCUGAGAGGGUGACCGGCCACACUGGGACUGAGACACGGCCCAGACUCCUACGGGAGGCAGCAGUGGGGAAUAUUGCACAAUGGGCGCAAGCCUGAUGCAGCAACGCCGCGUGAGGGACGACGGCCUUCGGUUGUAAACCUCUUUAGUUAGGGAAGAAGCGAAAGUGACGGUACCUGCAGAAAAGACACGGCUAACUACGUGCCAGCAGCCGCGGUAAU